AAAGGUAUGAGAUUCAUUUUGAUACAUCCAUAGCCUUCAUCCUAGUUAACAGUGGCUGUGUUUACAUGACUGUGAGACCUCAUGUGGCUAAAGAAAGCUCUUGUCGCAAUCCUUUAGAAUAUGCAUCUGGACUUCCAGCAACCCACUCAGAGAAGACACAAACAAACCAGGAUCACUCUGUGUGCUCCCUUCUGUGGCCCAAGUUCAAAAGCAGCAGGAGUCUCCAUCUGCUUGCAAGCUGCCCAGGACUAUUGGAUUCCCAAAGUUGUUUCCUUUGAUAGGAAUCUAGAUACAAGCUAGAAGCUGGAAAGAAACAAGUGUUUGAAAGAGUGCCCUAAGCAGCAGCUCAGACCAUGGACUUCCACGUGAUAUCUGACAACUGCACAGACCAGAACAUCCACAUGACCUCCAGCACAUCCACACGGUCUUUGGUGGUAACAUAGGUUACGGCCAUCAACACGACCUCCAGCUGCAGUAGGACCACAGAUUCAGACAUGGCCUCCGGAAAGAACAUGGACCACCGAAAUUCUGCACAGACUUGAUGGUAACAUGGCCAUAUGGUCUACAGAUACUUCAUCAGGACCAUGGACCCAAACAUGACCUCAGGGCAGCAUAGGCCAUCGAUAUCAACACAGCCUCAUUCAUGCACCUCCAUGCAACAUGGCCUCUGAAGGUAGCUCAGGCCUUGGACAUUGACACGGUUCAGACUCUCUCUGUUCCUCCAUCCUUCCCACCUCUCCAUGGAAAAUUCAUUUACAUUGAAAAUUGCAAAUCACCCAGCUUUUUUCCCCCCCUACACAGCAGUACAUGCAAAUACUAAUUACCAUGAGUCAUUGGCCUAGGUCAAGCCUCUGGUCUCUGAAGCACCAUAAUUACCAGACCAUUGUUGAGACCUUUUCCAUUACAGCCAUGCUUCAGGUGUUCAUCUUCAGUAGCAAAGCUGUGCUCCUGAAUCUGCUUCUGAAGCACUAGUUCCUUCUCAUGGUCCACCAGCUUGUAGAUGGAGUAGGUGUUGUGACUGACCACCCGGAAGCAAGUUGGUCAGACAGGCUCUUCAAGGUGGCUGCCCUAGAGCAACAGGCCCAGCUGUCAUUUUUUCAGUUCUGGAUUUAGUCUA